AACGAACGCUGGCGGCAUGCCUAAUACAUGCAAGUCGAACGAUCACUUCGGUGGUAGUGGCGCACGGGUGCGUAACGCGUGGGAAUCUGCCCUUGGGUUCGGAAUAACAUCUGGAAACGGAUGCUAAUACCGGAUGAUGACGUAAGUCCAAGGCUUUAUCGCCCAGGGAUGAGCCCGCGUAGGAUUAGCUAGUUGGAGGGGUAAAGGCCUACCAAGGCGACGAUCCGUAGCUGGUCUGAGAGGAUGAUCAGCCACACUGGGACUGAGACACGGCCCAGACUCCUACGGGAGGCAGCAGUAGGGAAUAUUGGACAAUGGCGAAAGCCUGAUCCAGCAAUGCCGCGUGAGUGAUGAAGGCCUUAGGGUUGUAAAGCUCUUUUACCCGGGAUGAUAAUGACAGUACCGGGAGAAUAAGCCCCGGCUAACUCCGUGCCAGCCGCCGCCGUAA
rnacentral:rRNA from 1 species